rnacentral:pre_miRNA from 1 species
AGUGUAAUUGCUGGAUCAUAUAUUAAGGGUGUGUUUAGUUUUUAAGAAACUGCCAAACUAUCUUCCGAAGUUGCUCUACUGUUCUGCAUUUCUGCAAU